CAAAGUGAUCACAAAGCCCAAUCCAAAAUCCCAGAAUUGCGCCACAGCGGAAAGAAAUCCAUAUGUAUAUUCUGAUGUACAAAAAACCAGCCUCGAUAAUAUCAGGAUGGCACCAAACCUUUUGGUACUUAAUCUCGGGGAGGCUACCACCACUAAGCUCGAAAACCAUGUGGGCUACUUGUGACAAAAAUGUCAUAACAAACAAGCAUACAUAAAAUACUUCAUAUGCAUCAAGACAAUUGACAAACCAGCAAAGGAUGAGCAAAUCAGAUAACUAUCAAGGAACACGAAAGUUUAAAACAUUUUAAAAUUAUGAACAAAAAUUCAGAAAUCACAUCUGCAAUCUCAGCCGAAAGAUGGUGAUUUUUAUGUAAAUAAUCACGGAAUAAUCAUGCAUUAGGACAUAAAGUUGCAUCAUAGAUUGCAUAAUGGCAAGUUUGUUAACAAACAAAAAAUAAACACGGUUCAUUUGCUUUUAGCAGAAAAUGUAAACAGGAAUUAAGUAACAGAAAGCUUAUAUAUAAAGAAAGCAAUCUGUGUCGCAAAGCCUGUAAAAAUUCUUUAUACGCCCGUUAAACGAAAUGUCCAGAUACUAUAGACAAAAGUCUUAAAUCUGUACAUCAGAUACCAUAGGCAAGUAAAAACAACGACUUUCAUGAUAAUAUAAACCAAAAAUCAAAAUAAAAAGCAAAUUAGAACAAUAAACUUCCUUAGAAAUCACAAAACUACAAAAUGUGGAAACAUUGUAAGAGAUCAGAUGGUAGUGCAUGUUUUGUUCAUCAUUCAAUUGCAGAAUAUAUGGAUAUACAUCAUCAUAUCUCAUUACACGUUUGUACAAUACUACACUUUAAAAUACAAUGAUUUUGGGUUCAAAGUACAUCAUUUAUCAAUUUUCAGCGAAAUUUAAUACUCAAUGUCAAAACUUGUUACCAAAAUCCCAUAACUUCGAUAACAUCAACAAAUUAAUACUCAAUGAACCAGUGAAAAGUUAAUUCUAAAAAUCAGAGCACGUUAAAACAAACUUAAUUUCUAAAUUGUAUAUGGGAUCAGAUAGUCAGAUUUUCACCACACAUUAGAUGGUAAGACUGGGUGUUGCUGAAAAAAAUAUCCUCAUAUCCCAUUAGCCAAGAAAACUCACCUUAUACAUUAAAUAGUUAAAAAAUAAGAAAAUUAAUGUAACAAAUUUACAACAAAACUUAAUAAAAAAUGAAGUUAAAACGAAACAAAAGCUGAGAUUUGAAAUAGAAGGAUCAGAUUAAAAGGUCAAUCACCAUCUUACACCUUAUCGUGCAAAUUAAGACUGGGGCGACAAUAAGAAUCAUCAUAUCCUUUACAAACAAGACAUUAUCAUAAACAAUGACAAUACAUAAUGCAAAAUUAUGAUAAAUAAUAUCCAAAGAUCAAAACUUCAUGCAUUUAAACAUCAACACAAGUUAAAAUAACAGCAUCUAAUGCUUCGAACCUAUACCUAGACAGAGAUCUUGGAAACAAUCUGGGGUCUCUUAAACCUCUUGACACUUUUUUUGUAACUUCUUUGAAAGAAGAGGGACAGACAUGGUUGCUGUGAGCUUGAUUUUGAUUCUGUGAAGUGUAGCAGUAUAUAUAGGCGGGUUUGCAGCGUCUAGGGUUCUUGUUAUUGCUGCGAUUAGGGUUUUG
rnacentral:lncRNA from 1 species